rnacentral:rRNA from 1 species
CCUACGGGCGGCAGCAGUGAGGAAUAUUGGUCAAUGGACGAGAGUCUGAACCAGCCAAGUAGCGUGAAGGAUGACUGCCCUAUGGGUUGUAAACUUCUUUUAUAUGGGAAUAAAACGUUCCACGUGUGGGAUUUUGUAUGUACCAUAUGAAUAAGGAUCGGCUAACUCCGUGCCAGCAGCCGCGGUAAUACGGAGGAUGCGAGCGUUAUCCGGAUUUAUUGGGUUUAAAGGGUGCGCAGGCGGAAUGUCAAGUCAGCGGUAAAAUUUCGGGGCUCAACCCCGUCGUGCCGUUGAAACUGGCGUUCUUGAGUGAGCGAGAAGUAUGCGGAAUGCGUGGUGUAGCGGUGAAAUGCAUAGAUAUCACGCAGAACUCCGAUUGCGAAGGCAGUUCACUGGACUGCAACUGACACUGAGGCUCGAAAGUGUGGGUAUCAAACAGGAUUAGAUACCCUUGUAGUC